rnacentral:rRNA from 1 species
GAUGAACGCUGGCGGCGUGCCUAAUACAUGCAAGUCGAGCGAACAGACGAGGAGCUUGCUCCUCUGACGUUAGCGGCGGACAGGUGAGUAACACGUGGAUAACCUACCUAUAAGACUGGGAUAACUUCGGGAAACCGGAGCUAAUACCGGAUAAUAUAUUGAACCGCAUGGUUCAAUAGUGAAAGACGGUUUUGCUGUCACUUAUAGAUGGAUCCGCGCCGCAUUAGCUAGUUGGUAAGGUAACGGCUUACCAAGGCGACGAUGCGUAGCCGACCUGAGAGGGUGAUCGGCCACACUGGAACUGAGACACGGUCCAGACUCCUACGGGAGGCAGCAGUAGGGAAUCUUCCGCAAAGGGCGAAAGCCUGACGGAGCAACGCCGCGUGAGUGAUGAAGGUCUUCGGAUCGUAAAACUCUGUUAUUAGGGAAGAACAAAUGUGUAAGUAACUAUGCACGUCUUGACGGUACCUAAUCAGAAAGCCACGGCUAACUACGUG